AUUACACGUGUGAGCCACUGUGCCAGGCUGGUAAUCUGUGGUUUUUUUUUUUGGCAAAUAUCUUCCUUAUUUAAAGUGUUGGUGAAGAAAGCAAAUUCUAGUAUCUUUCAGAGAAUAUAAUAAGCUCAACCAUUGUGGAAGACAGUGUGGCGAUUCCUCAAGGAUCUAGAACCAGAAAUAUCAUUUGACCCAGCAAUCCCAUUACUGGCUCCCUCCACAUAAGUAUCUCACGUUCGGC